UUGACUUGAAACUUUUAUUUUUUAUAAAUAUAGGCAUUUACAGAUAUAAAUUUCCCUCAGAGAACUGCUUUUUUGGUAUUCCAUAAGUUUAUGCAUGUUGUAUUUUCAUUUUCAUUCAUCUUUAAGUAUUUUCAAAUUUCCCUUGUGGUUUUUUUCUUUGAUUCAUUGGUUAUUAGGAAUGUAUUAUUUAAUUCCACAUAUUUGUGAUUUUCUCAAAUCUCUCUGCUAUUGAUUUUGAGUUUCAUGUGAAACUUUUCACAGUUGUUGAUUUUGCAUAAAUCUACCAGAAGUUGACAUUGUGGGCAAUUCAACGUAACCCCCAUAUUGACCACUGCUAGAUUCCAAGUGCUUUAUGAAUUUGCAGACUUGUGUUUUAUUCUUCUUUCUUGCCUUUUACUUUUUUAAGAGGCAUAUGAUGCAGACACAUGUGUGGGCUUAUUAGUUCCCCAUUUGUGUUAGAAUAAAGACCGUCCCCCAAGAGAUGUCCAUAUCUCAGGGCCUGGAACCUGUGAAUCUGUUACCUUAUGUGGCAAAGGGACUUUGCACAUGUGAUUGAGUUAAGGAACUUGAUAUGGGGAGAUUAUUGCAGAUUUUUUUCAGUGGGAUGCCGUGUCAUCACAAGGGUCCCAAUUAGAGAAUGGCGAGAGAGUCGGGGUGAGAAAGGAGACGAGACAGCAAAAUCAGAGGGUGUAGUGAUGAGCUUUGAGGUUGGAGGAGGGGGCCACCAGCUAACAAAGGCAGGUGGCCUUUAGAAGCUGCAAAAGGGAAAGAAAUAGCUUUUCCUCUAGAGCCUCAAGAAGGAACGAAGCUCUGCUGAUACUUUGAUUUUAGCCCCAACCUCUGGUCUUCAAAACUUAUAUCAAGUGGUCCUGGGAUGGAAUAAAGUACAACAUGGAUAUGAGACAUUGGUUUAUAUCUUGCAGACUGGUGGCUUAGAGCACUUUCUAAAAUAUAUCCGGAGUACCACUGAAAGCUACACAUCUGUUUUUUGACAAGAGACUAAUGAGGAGGAGCUGAGUGUCUCCCAUCCUAAGACUGAGAUGGGGCCGAGCUGUUGUUCUAGAAGGAAAAACGAUGUCUUGUCCUGGGUGAACCAGAACAGUGCUUCCGAAAUCAAGGAGCGUGGCCCAGAGAAUCCAGCCCGUGUUCUGUUGUUUCUGCUUCCUCAAUAAUGAGCACCGGCCUUCAGUGAGUUCCUUUUCCUUGCUGGGUUUCAUUUGUAAAAUGUUGACUAAUGGCUAAGGGAGUUUAUUCCUGCAAAAUCACCUCAUUAGAAGAGAAAAAAGGCAAAAGGGCGGGCGUGGUGACUCACGCUUGUAA